AGCCAGCUGACGAGUGCCAAAUAAGACGAAACGCGCGUCUUGGAU
rfam:Schistosoma mansoni strain Puerto Rico chromosome 6, complete genome